rnacentral:rRNA from 1 species
CCUACGGGUGGCAGCAGUCGAGAAUCAUUCACAAUGGGGGAAACCCUGAUGGUGCGACGCCGCGUGGGGGAAUGAAGGUCUUCGGAUUGUAAACCCCUGUCAUGUGGGAGCAAAUUAAAAAGAUAGUCCCACAAGAGGAAGCGACGGCUAACUCUGUGCCAGCAGCCGCGGUAAUCCAGAGGUCUCAAGCGUUGUUCGGAAUCACUGGGCGUAAAGCGUGCGUAGGCUGUUUCGUAAGUCGUGUGUGAAAGGCGCGGGCUCAACCCGCGGACGGCCCAUGAUACUGCGAGACUAGAGUAAUGGAGGGGGAAGCGGAAUUCUCGGUGUAGCAGUGAAAUGCGUAGAUAUCGAGAAGAACACUCGUGGCGAAGGCGGGUUCCUGGACAUUAACUGACGCUGAGGCACGAAGGCCAGGGGAGCGAAAGGGAUUAGAUACCCCUGUAGUC